rnacentral:rRNA from 1 species
AUACGUAGGUGGCAAGCGUUAUCCGGAUUUACUGGGUGUAAAGGGUGCGCAGGCGGCCAUUUAAGUCAGCGGUUAAAUCGUGGGGCUCAACCCCAUUCUGCCGUUGAUACUGGGUGGCUUGAUUGCGGUCGAGGUUGGCGGAAUUCGUUGUGUAGCGGUGAAAUGCAUAGAUAUGACGAAGAACACCGAUUGCGUAGGCAGCUGACCAGACCGCAAAUGACGCUCAUGCACGAAAGUGCGGGGAUCGAACAGGAUUAGAUACCCUGGUAGUCCGCACAGUAAACGAUGAAUACUUGUUUUCGGCGAUAUAAUGUCGGAGGCAAAGCGAAAGCGAUAAGUAUUCCACCUGGGGAGUACGCCGGCAACGGUGAAACUCAAAUGAAUUGGCGGGG